rnacentral:rRNA from 1 species
CGUAGGGUGCAAGCGUUAAUCGGAAUUACUGGGCGUAAAGCGUGCGCAGGCGGUUAUGUAAGACAGAUGUGAAAUGCCCGGGCUCAACCUGGGAACUGCAUUUGUGACUGCAUGGCUAGAGUUUGGCAGAGGGGGGUAGAAUUCCACGUGUAGCAGUGAAAUGCGUAGAUAUGUGGAGGAAUACCGAUGGCGAAGGCAGCCCCCUGGGUCAAGACUGACGCUCAUGCACGAAGCGUGGGAGCAAACAGGAUU